rnacentral:rRNA from 1 species
AUACGUAGGGGGCGAGCGUUGUCCGGAAUGACUGGGCGUAAAGGGCGUGUAGGCGGCUGUCUAAGUCUGGAGUGAAAGUCCUGCUUUCAAGGUGGGAAUUGCUUUGGAGACUGGAUGGCUUGAGUGCGGAAGAGGUAAGUGGAAUUCCCAGUGUAGCGGUGAAAUGCGUAGAAAUUGGGAGGAACACCAGUGGCGAAGGCGACUUACUGGGCCGUAACUGACGCUGAGGCGCGAAAGCGUGGGGAGCGAACAGGAUUAGAUACCCUGGUAGUCCACACCGUAAACGAUGGAUACUAGGUGUGCGGGGACUGACCCCCUGCGUGCCGCAGUUAACACAAUAAGUAUUCCGCCUGGGGAGUACGGCCGCAAGGUUGAAACUCAAAGGAAUUGACGGGG